rnacentral:rRNA from 1 species
AGAACGAACGCUGGCGGAAGGCUUAACACAUGCAAGUCGAGCGCACCUUCGGGUGAGCGGCAGACGGGUGAGUAACGCGUGGGAAUGUGCCUCUUGGUUCGGAAUAGCCCCGGGAAACUGGGAGUAAUACCGGAUAAGCCCUUCGGGGGAAAGAUUUAUCGCCAAAAGAUCAGCCCGCGUUAGAUUAGCUAGUUGGUGAGGUAACGGCUCACCAAGGCGACGAUCUAUAGCUGGUCUGAGAGGACGACCAGCCACACUGGAACUGAGACACGGUCCAGACUCCUACGGGAGGCAGCAGUGGGGAAUCUUGGACAAUGGGCGCAAGCCUGAUCCAGCCAUGCCGCGUGAAUGAUGAAGGCCUUAGGGUUGUAAAAUUCUUUCAGCAGGGAAGAUAAUGACGUUACCUACAGAAGAAGCACCGGCAAACUCCGUGCCAGCAGCCGCGGUAAUACGGAGGGGGCUAGCGUUGUUCGGAAUUACUGGGCGUAAAGCGCACGUAGGCGGAUUGUUAAGUUAGAGGUGAAAGCCCAGAGCUCAACUCUGGAAUAGCCUUUGAUACUGGCAGUCUAGAGUUCAGGAGAGGUGAGCGGAAUUCCGAGUGUAGAUGUGAAAUUCGUAGAUAUUCGGAGGAACACCAGAGGCGAAGGCGGCUCACUGGACUGAUACUGACGCUGAGGUGCGAAAGCGUGGGGAGCAAACAGGAUUAGAGACCCUGGUAGUCCACGCCGUAAACGAUGAAUGCCAGCUGUUGGGCAGUAUACUGUUCAGUGGCGCAGCUAACGCAUUAAGCAUUCCGCCUGGGGAGUACGGUCGCAAGACUAAAACUCAAAGAAAUUGACGGGGGCCCGCACAAGCGGUGGAGCAUGUGGUUUAAUUCGAUUCAACGCGCAGAACCUUACCAGCUCUUGACAUCCCGAUCGCGGUUACCGGAGACGGUUUCCUUCAGCUAGGCUGGAUCGGUGACAGGUGCUGCAUGGCUGUCGUCAGCUCGUGUCGUGAGAUGUUGGGUUAAGUACCGCAACGAGCGCAACCCUCGCCUUUUUAGUUGCCAGCAUUUAGUUGGGCACUCUAGAGGGACUGCCGGUGAUAAGCCGGAGGAAGGUGGGGAUGACGUCAAGUCCUCAUGGCCCUUACGGGCUGGGCUACACACGUGCUACAAUGGCGGUGACAGAGGGUUAAUCCCUAAAAGCCGUCUCAGUUCGGAUUGUCCUCUGCAACUCGAGGGCAUGAAGUUGGAAUCGCUAGUAAUCGCAGAUCAACAUGCUGCGGUGAAUACGUUCCCGGGCCUUGUACACACCGCCCGUCACACCAUGGGAGUUGGUCUUAUCUGAAGGCGUUGAGCUAACCCGCAAGGGACAGCCGGCCACGGUAGGAUCAGCGACUGGGGUGAAGUC